AGAGCCGACCAUCUCCCACUCGAGCUGCCCCCGCCCUCUGGACCCGAGUGACUCAGGCCUUUGUUUGUCCUUCCUGGUAGAGGCGGGUUCCCUCCCUCGGCAAGAUGCCGGAGUGCUGGGAUGGGGAACAUGACAUCGAGACACCCUACGGCCUUCUGCAUGUAGUGAUCCGGGGCUCCCCCAAGGGGAACCGCCCAGCCAUCCUCACCUACCAUGAUGUGGGCCUCAACCACAAACUAUGCUUCAACACCUUCUUCAACUUCGAGGACAUGCAGGAGAUCACCAAGCACUUUGUGGUGUGUCACGUGGAUGCCCCUGGACAACAGGUGGGGGCGUCGCAGUUUCCUCAGGGGUACCAGUUCCCCUCCAUGGAGCAGCUGGCUGCCAUGCUCCCCAGCGUGGUGCAGCAUUUCGGGUUCAAGUAUGUGAUUGGCAUCGGAGUGGGCGCCGGAGCCUAUGUGCUGGCCAAGUUUGCAGUGAGUCUCCCCAUGCCCCCAUUACCCCAAACACCAGGGCAAGCCAGGGAUGUCCCAGUGGUGGGGACUGGGGGGAACCCUUCA
rnacentral:sRNA from 1 species